UACGUAGGGUGCAAGCGUUGUCCGGAAUUAUUGGGCGUAAAGAGCUCGUAGGCGGUCUGUCGCGUCGGAUGUGAAAAUCCAGGGCUCAACCCUGGACCUGCAUUCGAUACGGGCAGACUAGAGUUCGGUAGGGGAGACUGGAAUUCCUGGUGUAGCGGUGAAAUGCGCAGAUAUCAGGAGGAACACCGGUGGCGAAGGCGGGUCUCUGGGCCGAAACUGACGCUGAGGCGCGAAAGCUAGGGGAGCGAACGGG
rnacentral:rRNA from 1 species